GACGAACGCUGGCGGCGUGCUUAACACAUGCAAGUCGAACGGAAAGGCCCUGCUUGCAGGGUACUCGAGUGGCGAACGGGUGAGUAACACGUGGGUGAUCUGCCCUGCACUUCGGGAUAAGCCUGGGAAACUGGGUCUAAUACCGGAUAGGAGCCAUUUUUAGUGUGAUGGUUGGAAAGUUUUUUCGGUGUAGGAUGAGCUCGCGGCCUAUCAGCUUGUUGGUGGGGUAAUGGCCUACCAAGGCGGCGACGGGUAGCCGGCCUGAGAGGGUGGACGGCCACAUUGGGACUGGGAUACGGCCCAGACUCCGACGGGAGGCAGAAGUGGGGAAUAUUGCACAAUGGGCGCAAGCCUGAUGCAGCGACGCCGCGGGGGGGAGGACGGCCUUCGGGUUGUAAACUCCUUUCGCUAGGGACGAAGCUUUUUGUGACGGUACCUAGAGAAGAAGCACCGGCUAACUACGUG
rnacentral:rRNA from 1 species